CGAAGUGUAGCUUAAACAAAGCAUUUCGCUUACACCGAAAAGAUAUCUGUGAGAUUCAGAUCCCUUCGA
rnacentral:tRNA from 1 species